CUGAGCUAGCUACACGCUACCCUGUAUCAACAGUCAAUUCGUCAUUGUACUACCUGCCAGCAGACAGCAGGACGACAUCCUUAUAGUGGAGCCUCUAAUGUUCUCCUACUAUCUUCAGUGCCAAAAGAAAAGAACUAAAGUAAAAUUACAAACAAUAAUCCUCCGGAAGCCUUUCAACGCCAGCAGUGGAGGUCAGUUACAACACUAUGCAUCUACAUAUCCUUUCAACCUGCAACAGAUAAAACCAUGCCAGAUAAUUUGACAGCAGAACUUUGGAACAUGAGUUUUUCUGGCAUAUGUACACUAUACAAUUCAGAGCUACAUCUAAAAACACUACAGGGUGGCCCAAGUGCUUAAAUUCAACUUCAGCAAUGAUAUGCACACCUGGCUACAUUGUUAAGGAUAAGGAAAUGACUUGGAUGUAUAGUUUUUGGCUUCUUUUUAUGGGUUGAUUAGGACCUGCACUUACUAAAUACUUGACCAGAGAAGGAUAAUAUAAAUCCAUGUAACAGAACUUA
rnacentral:lncRNA from 1 species